rnacentral:rRNA from 1 species
AUACGUAGGUGGCAAGCGUUGUCCGGAUUUACUGGGCGUAAAGGGAGCGUAGGUGGAUAUUUAAGUGGGAUGUGAAAUACCCGGGCUUAACCUGGGUGCUGCAUUCCAAACUGGAUAUCUAGAGUGCAGGAGAGGAAAGUAGAAUUCCUAGUGUAGCGGUGAAAUGCGUAGAGAUUAGGAAGAAUACCAGUGGCGAAGGCGGCUUUCUGGACUGUAACUGACACUGAGGCUCGAAAGCGUGGGGAGC